GGUGACCACCAGUGUUACAUUACUCAAGGUUAUCACUGGAUUUACCAGUUUGCCAAGUUUUCCAGGCAGGGACACAGUGUAGACAUCUCCACCUGAGCCACUGCAGAGCAUUGUGGGUAACCAUCUUCUCCAUCACCAACCACUCCUGUGCGAUCGUUACAGAUGCUCAGACUUCCUGUGUUCAUCAAUCAAGAAAACCAAAGAGAAGUGAGUGGGAAUCGUGGCCAGAGACCUUAACCUCAAAGAUACAGUAAUGCAGAAAGCCUCUUUGCUGGAUGUCUCAAGUACCAAUGGCACUCCUGUAUAAAAAGCAAUGGCAUCAAUAAUUAAGCACUGAUUAGGUUUAAUAUUUAAUGUUGGCGACAUGUAAUUUACACGUGCAAACCAGAA